rnacentral:rRNA from 1 species
UACGGAGGGGGCUAGCGUUGUCCGGAUUUAUUGGGCGUAAAGAGCUCGUAGGCGGUUUGGCAAGUCGGGUGUGAAAACUCCGGGCUCAACUCGGAGACGCCACUCGAUACUGCCAUGACUCGAGUCCGGUAGGGGAGUGCGGAAUUCCUGGUGUAGCGGUGAAAUGCGCAGAUAUCAGGAGGAACACCGGUGGCGAAGGCGGCACUCUGGGCCGGUACUGACGCUGAGGAGCGAAAGCGUGGGGAGCGAACAGG